CCUACGGGUGGCAGCAGUGGGGAAUAUUGCACAAUGGGGGAAACCCUGAUGCAGCGACGCCGCGUGAGUGAAGAAGUAUUUCGGUACGUAAAGCUCUAUCAGCAGGGAAGAAAAUGACGGUACCUGACUAAGAAGCCCCGGCUAACUACGUGCCAGCAGCCGCGGUAAUACGUAGGGGGCAAGCGUUAUCCGGAUUUACGGGGUGUAAAGGGAGCGUAGACGGCAGCGCAGGUCUGGAGUGAAAUCCCAUGGCUUAACCAUGGAACUGCUGUGGAAACUGUGCAGCUAGAGUGCAGGAGAGGUAAGCGGAAUUCCUAGUGUAGCGGUGAAAUGCGUAGAUAUUAGGAGGAACACCAGUGGCGAAGGCGGCUUACUGGACUGUAACUGACGUUGAGGCUCGAAAGCGUGGGGAGCAAACAGGAUUAGAUACCCUUGUAGUC
rnacentral:rRNA from 1 species